GUUGGUCAAAUGGAAUGAGGCAUACAGUCCUUAUGAUAACCAUUGGUCAGAGCAAGAGGGGGAAGGAAACGGAAGAGAUAAAAAAUGUGGGGAGAAAGUGAAACAGGAGAGGUAAGGAAUCCGUAGUUGCAAAUGUGACGUUGUCAGACCUGAAUGUACCAGCAAAAUGGAUAAAGGAAAAGAAAGAAGCUACCCUAAAAGAUGGAAACCGCUGUAAAGGACAAGGAAAUGAUAAUCCACUUGACUCAAAAGUUAACUCGACCAAUGGGCAUUAAAUACAGACGUAAAUAUGUAAUAGCAGGAUCCGAGAGAGAGAGGAGGAAAUGAAAUUUUUGGGAAGAGACAAACGCACAGGGGAAAAUGACUGAACACAUGAAAUUAUGGAACAAGUAACAUCAUAAAAUGAAGAAAAAAGCAUGUUUAAAAAAACCCAGUUGUCGAUAUUACUGAAUACAAAAAGAAAACUUA